rnacentral:rRNA from 1 species
UCUACGGGCGGCAGCAGUGGGGAAUAUUGGACAAUGGGCGAAAGCCUGAUCCAGCCAUGCCGCGUGUGUGAAGAAGGCCUUCGGGUUGUAAAGCACUUUCAGUGGGGAAGAAAGCCUUGGGGCUAAUACCCUCGAGGAAGGACAUCACCCACAGAAGAAGCACCGGCUAACUCCGUGCCAGCAGCCGCGGUAAUACGGAGGGUGCGAGCGUUAAUCGGAAUUACUGGGCGUAAAGCGCGCGUAGGCGGUCUGAUAAGCCGGUUGUGAAAGCCCCGGGCUCAACCUGGGAACGGCAUCCGGAACUGUCAGGCUAGAGUGCAGGAGAGGAAGGUAGAAUUCCCGGUGUAGCGGUGAAAUGCGUAGAGAUCGGGAGGAAUACCAGUGGCGAAGGCGGCCUUCUGGACUGACACUGACGCUGAGGUGCGAAAGCGUGGGUAGCAAACAGGAUUAGAUACCCGGGUAGUC